rnacentral:rRNA from 1 species
UACGUAGGGUGCAAGCGUUGUCCGGAAUUAUUGGGCGUAAAGAGCUCGUAGGCGGUUUGUCGCGUCUGCUGUGAAAACCUAGGGCUUAACCCUGGGCCUGCAGUGGGUACGGGCAGACUAGAGUGCGGUAGGGGAGACUGGAAUUCCUGGUGUAGCGGUGAAAUGCGCAGAUAUCAGGAGGAACACCGAUGGCGAAGGCAGAUCUCUGGGCCGUAACUGACGCUGAGGAGCGAAAGCAUGGGGAGCGAACAGG